GACGAACGCUGGCGGCGUGCUUAACACAUGCAAGUCGAACGGAAAGGCCCUGCUUUUGUGGGGUGCUCGAGUGGCGAACGGGUGAGUAACACGUGAGUAACCUGCCCUUGACUUUGGGAUAACUUCAGGAAACUGGGGCUAAUACCGGAUAGGAGCUCCUGCUGCAUGGUGGGGGUUGGAAAGUUUCGGCGGUUGGGGAUGGACUCGCGGCUUAUCAGCUUGUUGGUGGGGUAGUGGCUUACCAAGGCUUUGACGGGUAGCCGGCCUGAGAGGGUGACCGGCCACAAUGGGACUGAGAUACGGCGCAGACUCCUACGGGAGGCAGCAGUGGGGAAUAUUGCACAAUGGGCGGGAGCCUGAUGCAGCAGCGCCGCGUGCGGGAUGACGGCCUUCGGGUUGUAAACCGCUUUCGCCUGUGACGAAGCGUGAGUGACGGUAAUGGAUAAAGAAGCACCGGCUAACUACGUG
rnacentral:rRNA from 1 species